UUAAGCGACUAAGCGUACACGGUGGAUGCCCUGGCAGUCAGAGGCGAUGAAGGACGUGCUAAUCUGCGAUAAGCGUCGGUAAGGUGAUAUGAACCGUUAUAACCGGCGAUUUCCGAAUGGGGAAACCCAGUGUGUUUCGACACACUAUCAUUAACUGAAUCCAUAGGUUAAUGAGGCGAACCGGGGGAACUGAAACAUCUAAGUACCCCGAGGAAAAGAAAUCAACCGAGAUUCCCCCAGUAGCGGCGAGCGAACGGGGAGCAGCCCAGAGCCUGAAUCAGUGUGUGUGUUAGUGGAAGCGUCUGGAAAGGCGCGCGAUACAGGGUGACAGCCCCGUACACAAAAAUGCACAUGCUGUGAGCUCGAUGAGUAGGGCGGGACACGUGGUAUCCUGUCUGAAUAUGGGGGGACCAUCCUCCAAGGCUAAAUACUCCUGACUGACCGAUAGUGAACCAGUACCGUGAGGGAAAGGCGAAAAGAACCCCGGCGAGGGGAGUGAAAAAGAACCUGAAACCGUGUACGUACAAGCAGUGGGAGCACGCUUCGGCGUGUGACUGCGUACCUUUUGUAUAAUGGGUCAGCGACUUAUAUUCUGUAGCAAGGUUAACCGAAUAGGGGAGCCGAAGGGAAACCGAGUCUUAACUGGGCGUUAAGUUGCAGGGUAUAGACCCGAAACCCGGUGAUCUAGCCAUGGGCAGGUUGAAGGUUGGGUAACACUAACUGGAGGACCGAACCGACUAAUGUUGAAAAAUUAGCGGAUGACUUGUGGCUGGGGGUGAAAGGCCAAUCAAACCGGGAGAUAGCUGGUUCUCCCCGAAAGCUAUUUAGGUAGCGCCUCGUGAAUUCAUCUCCGGGGGUAGAGCACUGUUUCGGCAAGGGGGUCAUCCCGACUUACCAACCCGAUGCAAACUGCGAAUACCGGAGAAUGUUAUCACGGGAGACACACGGCGGGUGCUAACGUCCGUCGUGAAGAGGGAAACAACCCAGACCGCCAGCUAAGGUCCCAAAGUCAUGGUUAAGUGGGAAACGAUGUGGGAAGGCCCAGACAGCCAGGAUGUUGGCUUAGAAGCAGCCAUCAUUUAAAGAAAGCGUAAUAGCUCACUGGUCGAGUCGGCCUGCGCGGAAGAUGUAACGGGGCUAAACCAUGCACCGAAGCUGCGGCAGCGACGCUGAUGCGUUGUUGGGUAGGGGAGCGUUCUGUAAGCCUGCGAAGGUGUGCUGUGAGGCAUGCUGGAGGUAUCAGAAGUGCGAAUGCUGACAUAAGUAACGAUAAAGCGGGUGAAAAGCCCGCUCGCCGGAAGACCAAGGGUUCCUGUCCAACGUUAAUCGGGGCAGGGUGAGUCGACCCCUAAGGCGAGGCCGAAAGGCGUAGUCGAUGGGAAACAGGUUAAUAUUCCUGUACUUGGUGUUACUGCGAAGGGGGGACGGAGAAGGCUAUGUUGGCCGGGCGACGGUUGUCCCGGUUUAAGCGUGUAGGCUGGUUUUCCAGGCAAAUCCGGAAAAUCAAGGCUGAGGCGUGAUGACGAGGCACUACGGUGCUGAAGCAACAAAUGCCCUGCUUCCAGGAAAAGCCUCUAAGCAUCAGGUAACAUCAAAUCGUACCCCAAACCGACACAGGUGGUCAGGUAGAGAAUACCAAGGCGCUUGAGAGAACUCGGGUGAAGGAACUAGGCAAAAUGGUGCCGUAACUUCGGGAGAAGGCACGCUGAUAUGUAGGUGAGGUCCCUCGCGGAUGGAGCUGAAAUCAGUCGAAGAUACCAGCUGGCUGCAACUGUUUAUUAAAAACACAGCACUGUGCAAACACGAAAGUGGACGUAUACGGUGUGACGCCUGCCCGGUGCCGGAAGGUUAAUUGAUGGGGUUAGCCGCAAGGCGAAGCUCUUGAUCGAAGCCCCGGUAAACGGCGGCCGUAACUAUAACGGUCCUAAGGUAGCGAAAUUCCUUGUCGGGUAAGUUCCGACCUGCACGAAUGGCGUAAUGAUGGCCAGGCUGUCUCCACCCGAGACUCAGUGAAAUUGAACUCGCUGUGAAGAUGCAGUGUACCCGCGGCAAGACGGAAAGACCCCGUGAACCUUUACUAUAGCUUGACACUGAACAUUGAGCCUUGAUGUGUAGGAUAGGUGGGAGGCUUAGAAGUGUGGACGCCAGUCUGCAUGGAGCCGACCUUGAAAUACCACCCUUUAAUGUUUGAUGUUCUAACGUUGACCCGUAAUCCGGGUUGCGGACAGUGUCUGGUGGGUAGUUUGACUGGGGCGGUCUCCUCCUAAAGAGUAACGGAGGAGCACGAAGGUUGGCUAAUCCUGGUCGGACAUCAGGAGGUUAGUGCAAUGGCAUAAGCCAGCUUGACUGCGAGCGUGACGGCGCGAGCAGGUGCGAAAGCAGGUCAUAGUGAUCCGGUGGUUCUGAAUGGAAGGGCCAUCGCUCAACGGAUAAAAGGUACUCCGGGGAUAACAGGCUGAUACCGCCCAAGAGUUCAUAUCGACGGCGGUGUUUGGCACCUCGAUGUCGGCUCAUCACAUCCUGGGGCUGAAGUAGGUCCCAAGGGUAUGGCUGUUCGCCAUUUAAAGUGGUACGCGAGCUGGGUUUAGAACGUCGUGAGACAGUUCGGUCCCUAUCUGCCGUGGGCGCUGGAGAACUGAGGGGGGCUGCUCCUAGUACGAGAGGACCGGAGUGGACGCAUCACUGGUGUUCGGGUUGUCAUGCCAAUGGCACUGCCCGGUAGCUAAAUGCGGAAGAGAUAAGUGCUGAAAGCAUCUAAGCACGAAACUUGCCCCGAGAUGAGUUCUCCCUGACUCCUUGAGAGUCCUGAAGGAACGUUGAAGACGACGACGUUGAUAGGCCGGGUGUGUAAGCGCAGCGAUGCGUUGAGCUAACCGGUACUAAUGAACCGUGAGGCUUAACCUU
rnacentral:rRNA from 1 species